CCAAGUGGGCAGAGGGAUCCUCCUCAUCCUCCUCGUGUCACCCCCAGGUUCCUGCCCAGAGACAGAGCUGCUCUGAUCUCCUAGGGCAGAGGCAAGCAAGAGCAACCAACUCCUCCCAAGACUGACACCUUCCACACCAGCACGGGGGUGAAAGCACCUUGCAUGGGACCCUCGUGGGAGCUGGGGCCAGCAUCUAGUCCUGCUCCUUGGUGGAUACUUUCUCUCCUUCCCUGCCUGCUUGGUUUCUCCUAGCC